rnacentral:rRNA from 1 species
UACCAGCACCCCGAGUGGUCGGGACGUUUAUUGGGCCUAAAGCAUCCGUAGCCGGUUCUACAAGUCUUCCGUUAAAUCCACCUGCUUAACAGAUGGGCUGCGGAAGAUACUAUAGAGCUAGGAGGCGGGAGAGGCAAGCGGUACUCGAUGGGUAGGGGUAAAAUCCGUUGAUCCAUUGAAGACCACCAGUGGCGAAGGCGGCGUUGCCAGAACGCGCUCGACGGUGAGGGAUGAAAGCUGG